CCUACGGGAGGUUGCCGUGAGGAAUAUUGGUCAAUGACCGUAAGGCUGAACCAGCCAAGUAGCGUGAGGGAAGACUGCCCUAUGGGUUGUAAACCUCUUUUAUGCGGGGAUAAAGGUGUCCACGUGUGGAUGUUUGCAGGUACCGCAUGAAUAAGGACCGGCUACUUCCGUGCCAGCAGCCGCGGUAAUACGGAAGGUCCGGGCGUUAUCCGGAUUUAUUGGGUUUAAAGGGAGCGUAGGCCGGUCUUUAAGCGUGCCGUGAAAUUUUGUGGUUGAACCAUGAGAGUGCGGUGCGAAAUGGAUACUUUGAGUGCGCGGAGGGCAGGCGGAAGUCGUGGUGUAGCGGUGAAAUGCGUAGAUAUCACGAGGAACCCCGAGUGUGAAGGCAGCCUGCCGCAGCGUUACUGACGCUGAAGCUCGAAAGCGCGGGUAUCGAACAGGAUUAGAUACCCCUGUAGUC
rnacentral:rRNA from 1 species